GGGCGGGCUGGACCUCUCGGGGUUACAGCCUUGCUGAAUUAUUCACCCUUGUCUUUUGCGUACUUCUUGUUUCCUUGGUGGGUUCGCCCACCACUAGGACAAACAUAAACCUUUUGUAAUUGCAAUCAGCGUCAGUAACAAAUUAAUAAUUACAACUUUCAACAACGGAUCUCUUGGUUCUGGCAUCGAUGAAGAACGCAGCGAAAUGCGAUAAGUAGUGUGAAUUGCAGAAUUCAGUGAAUCAUCGAAUCUUUGAACGCACAUUGCGCCCUUUGGUAUUCCAAAGGGCAUGCCUGUUCGAGCGUCAUUUGUACCCUCAAGCUUUGCUUGGUGUUGGGCGUCUUGUCUCUAGCUUUGCUGGAGACUCGCCUUAAAGUAAUUGGCAGCCGGCCUACUGGUUUCGGAGCGCAGCACAAGUCGCACUCUCUAUCAGCAAAGGUCUAGCAUCCAUUAAGCCUUUUUUUCAACUUUUGACCUCGGAUCAGGUAGGGAUACCCGCUGAACUUAAGCAUAUCAAUAAGCGGAGGA
rnacentral:rRNA from 1 species